UCUCCUACCGAUUGAGUGAUCCGGUGAAUUAUUCGGACUGACGCAGUGCUCAGCUUCUGGACGUUGCGUUGGAAAGUUUCAUGAACCUUAUCACUUAGAGGAAGGAGAAGUCGUAACAAGGUUUCCGUAGGUGAACCUGCAGAAGGAUCACUUUCCGUUUUGCUUCGUGUUGGGUAAGUGUUUUGUUCUCGCUUGUCUCCGUAUCUUUUUCAUAUUACUUUUCUCUUCUUUCUUCUUUCUUCCUCUUUUUUUUUCUCUUUCUUCUUUUUUCUCUCUU
rnacentral:misc_RNA from 1 species